rnacentral:rRNA from 1 species
UGGGGAAUAUUGCACAAUGGGGGAAACCCUGAUGCAGCGACCCCCCGUGGAGGAAGAAGGUCUUCGGAUUGUAAACUCCUGUUGUUGAGGAAGAUAAUGACGGUACUCAACAAGGAAGUGACGGCUAACUACGUGCCAGCAGCCGCGGUAAAACGUAGGUCACAAGCGUUGUCCGGAAUUACUGGGUGUAAAGGGAGCGCAGGCGGGAGAACAAGUUGGAAGUGAAAUCCAUGGGCUCAACCCAUGAACUGCUUUCAAAACUGUUUUUCUUGAGUAGUGCAGAGGUAGGCGGAAUUCCCGGUGUAGCGGUGGAAUGCGUAGAUAUCGGGAGGAACACCAGUGGCGAAGGCGGCCUACUGGGCACCAACUGACGCUGAGGCUCGAAAGUGUGGGUAGCAAACAGGAUUAGAUACCCUGGUAGUCCACACCGUAAACGAUGAUUACUAGGUGUUGGAGGAUUGACCCCUUCAGUGCCGCAGUUAACACAAUAAGUAAUCCACCUGGGGAGUACGACCGCAAGGUUGAAACUCAAAGGAAUUGACGGGGGCCCGCACAAGCAGUGGAGUAUGUGGUUUAAUUCGACGCAACGCGAAGAACCUUACCAAGUCUUGACAUCCCUUGACGAUGCUGGAAACAGUAUUUCUCUUCGGAGCAAGGAGACAGGUGGUGCAUGGUUGUCGUCAGCUCGUGUCGUGAGAUGUUGGGUUAAGUCCCGCAACGAGCGCAACCCUUAUGGUCAGUUACUACGCAAGAGGACUCUGGCCAGACUGCCGUUGACAAAACGGAGGAAGGUGGGGAUGACGUCAAAUCAUCAUGCCCUUUAUGACUUGGGCUACACACGUACUACAAUGGCGUUAAACAAAGAGAAGCAAGACCGCGAGGUGGAGCAAAACUCAGAAACAACGUCCCAGUUCGGACUGCAGGCUGCAACUCGCCUGCACGAAGUCGGAAUUGCUAGUAAUCGUGGAUCAGCAUGCCACGGUGAAUACGUUCCC